rnacentral:rRNA from 1 species
GACGUAGGGCGCGAGCGUUGUCCGGAAUUAUUGGGCGUAAAGAGCUCGUAGGCGGCUUGUUGCGUCGUCCGUGAAAUCCCGUGGCUCAACUGCGGGCUUGCGGACGAUACGGGCAGGCUAGAGUUCGGUAGGGGAGACUGGAAUUCCUGGUGUAGCGGUGAAAUGCGCAGAUAUCAGGAGGAACACCGGUGGCGAAGGCGGGUCUCUGGGCCGAUACUGACGCUGAGAAGCGAAAGCAUGGGGAGCGAACAGG